UACGUAGGGUGCGAGCGUUGUCCGGAAUUAUUGGGCGUAAAGGGCUCGUAGGCGGUCUGUUGCGUCAGGAGUGAAAACUCGGGGCUUAACCCCGAGCCUGCUUCUGAUACGGGCAGACUAGAGGUAUGCAGGGGAGAACGGAAUUCCUGGUGUAGCGGUGAAAUGCGCAGAUAUCAGGAGGAACACCGGUGGCGAAGGCGGUUCUCUGGGCCUUACCUGACGCUGAGGAGCGAAAGCGUGGGAGCAAACAGG
rnacentral:rRNA from 1 species